rnacentral:snoRNA from 1 species
UGCAGCCCCGUCAAAUUCGGUCCUUGCCUCCUCCAUGGCGGGGACCCGGCCACCCUGCCACAGCAACUUCUGUGGUCUGUGAGCCCCACGUCCCCUUCCCGUGGGACGCUGGGGGAUAAAAUCACACCACGGACAUGU